UACAGAGGUGGCAAGCGUUGUUCGGAAUUACUGGGCGUAAAGCGUGCGCAGGCGGCUUCUCAAGUCAGGGGUGAAAGCCCAGAGCUCAACUCUGGAAUUGCCUUUGAGACUGAGUGGCUUGAGUACGAGAGAGGUGAGUGGAAUUCCCAGUGUAGAGGUGAAAUUCGUAGAUAUUGGGAAGAACACCGGUGGCGAAGGCGGCUCACUGGCUCGUAACUGACGCUCAUGCACGACAGCGUGGGGAUCAAACAGG
rnacentral:rRNA from 1 species